AUACAGCUUUACUUGUGAAGCAGCACUUAUUGUUUUUGUCAUAUCUGGAGUUAUAUAGAUCCAAUGAACCUGAUAUUUGAACCAAUGGAAAGAAAACUCAAGUGGAAAUAAUUUAUCUGUUGAUCAUAAGUCCAAAUUCGCUGCACAAUGUAUCUGGAAAUUGGCAUCAAUUUGCAUGUUCCAGCUGUCUUGAAGCUGGACAGAAACAAGUUGCAUUGCCUACUUGAAUUUUGGAUGUUCCUUUGCCUAUAAAAGGGGACCUUGGCCACGAUUUUGAAG
rnacentral:lncRNA from 1 species